GCAGAGUAGGCAUAUGUGCGUUAAGUGCCGGCUGAACAGGGAGUUGUCAGCUGGACGAAAGGGGAAGGGUACGUAAUUGUAUCAGGACCCCUGCGGUACAUAAGCCGCAUCCCGCUGC
rnacentral:ncRNA from 1 species